AUUUCAUUUUUAUUUUUCCAUGACAAGGACUUCAAAUCCAUGCCAGAUAAUUUCUUAUCAGCUUAAUAUCUGAUACGUCCCCUAUCUGGGGACCAUAUAUUAAAUGGAUUUUUGAGAACGGGGGCCGGUUUCGAAGAUUGCUUGUGUCACCCUAUGCAUUGACACGAUAUGGCAGUAUCUUCGGGUACAGUGCACCAAAA